GCGGGAAUAAUUCAAAAGGUAGAAUGUCAGCCUUCCAAGUUGAAUGUUACGGGUUCGAUUCCCGUUUCCCGCU
rnacentral:tRNA from 1 species